GAUGAACGCUGGCGGCGUGCCUAAUACAUGCAAGUCGAGCGAAUGGAUUAAGAGCUUGCUCUUAUGAAGUUAGCGGCGGACGGGUGAGUAACACGUGGGUAACCUGCCCAUAAGACUGGGAUAACUCCGGGAAACCGGGGCUAAUACCGGAUAACAUUUUGAACCGCAUGGUUCGAAAUUGAAAGGCGGCUUCGGCUGUCACUUAUGGAUGGACCCGGGUCGCAUUAGCUAGUUGGUGAGGUAACGGCUCACCAAGGCAACGAUGCGUAGCCGACCUGAGAGGGUGUUCGGCCACACUGGGACUGAGACACGGCCCAGACUCCUACGGGAGGAAGCAGUAGGGAAUCUUCCGCAAUGGACGAAAGUCUGACGGAGCAACGCCGCGUGAGUGAUGAAGGCUUUCGGGUCGUAAAACUCUGUUGUUAGGGAAGAACAAGUGCUAGUUGAAUAAGCUGACACCUUGACGGUACCUAACCAGAAAGCCACGGCUAACUACGUGCCAGCAGCCGCGGUAA
rnacentral:rRNA from 1 species